AUUUGAAGCUGCGGAAUGCUUUACACAUGCAAGUCGAACGGUAGAGGGGGCAACCCCUUGAGAGUGGCGAACGGGUGAGUAAUAUAUCGGAACGUGCCCAGUCGUGGGGGAUAACGUAGUGAAAAUUACGCUAAUACCGCAUACGAUCUAAGGAUGAAAGCGGGGGAUCGCAAGACCUCGCGCGACUGGAGCGGCCGAUAUCAGAUUAGGUAGUUGGUAGGGUAAAGGCCUACCAAGCCAACGAUCUGUAGCUGGUCUGAGAGGACGACCAGCCACACUGGAACUGAGACACGGUCCAGACUCCUACGGGAGGCAGCAGUGGGGAAUUUUGGACAAUGGGCGAAAGCCUGAUCCAGCCAUUCCGCGUGCAGGAUGAAGGCCCUCGGGUUGUAAACUGCUUUUGUACAGAACGAAAAGGUCUCUAUUAAUACUAGGGGCUCAUGACGGUACUGUAAGAAUAAGCACCGGCUAACUACGUGCCAGCAGCCGCGGUAAUACGUAGGGUGCAAGCGUUAAUCGGAAUUACUGGGCGUAAAGCGUGCGCAGGCGGUUAUAUAAGUCAGAUGUGAAAUCCCCGGGCUCAACCUGGGAACUGCAUUUGAGACUGUAUAGCUAGAGUACGGUAGAGGGGGAUGGAAUUCCGCGUGUAGCAGUGAAAUGCGUAGAUAUGCGGAGGAACACCGAUGGCGAAGGCAAUCCCCUGGACCUGUAC
rnacentral:rRNA from 1 species